GCACCGGUGGUGUAUGGAGCACGCACCAGCAACAUGGAAAGAGCCCUUCGAAGUGUUACAAUGGUGAGACGGGGUUCGAUUCCCCGCUGGUGCA